rnacentral:lncRNA from 10 species
GCUACUUUCAUUCAGGGCUCUUGUUAGCAUCUUAUAGUAAAGGCGUGGAUGAGGAGGGGGAAAAAUAAAGCUUUGACAGAUGGUACUCAGCGUUUGACUCCUGCUGAGCUCAGCAGGACCUGUGGUUUCCAAGGUUAGAGCUGUCAAAAUGGCUCUGUCUAUCAAGUGAAUAACAAAGUGUAGACUGCCUGCCUGUUUCCUAUACAAAACUUAGAUUUCAUUUGCCAUUAUUGUCGGUCUUUCUGCUGAUUUAAUAACUUCUAAGGAGAAGAACUGGGGGUUCUGAUGCAGCCUCACUAUUUAAGAAACUACUUGGAAAGGGAAUUCUCAAGGGCUGAAAGAGGUAGGCCGCGAUCUGAUCUCUUUCUCUUUGGUUUCUCUCUGAGGUUUCAAGACUUAAAAAGGAUUCAAAAGACACCAAAGGUUCACUUUUGGCUGAAAGCUAAAUGUGAACCUUUCAAAAUGAACUCAUUGCUGCCUCUCUCUCAAAAGGGCUUCAGAUGGUCAGAUAAAGUACCUGAUGCUGAAAAACAGGAAAUUGAAUCAUGUCUCCAAAAUGUGCCUUUUGUCAUGCACUGUUACAGCUAUAUUUCUUGCUCUUUAGGCCUUAAUGAUUGACAUGAUCUUGGAGAUCAGUUAGGUAUGUAGCAAAACUCUCCUAGAAACCUGGAAGAUGUGGCAAGAAGAAAACAUGGAGCCUUUUCUGAACGAGCCUAUGAGAGAAGAAGAAUCACUUCAAUUUAUAAGUGUGGAUCCUGGGGCUAAAGAACUUACCUAACACCACACAACCAGCAGCAAAUUACUGACCCAGCAUAUUCUGAACCAGGUCUUUAUUCUUUCGAGGACUUCACAGUGCCUUCCUCAGAGCAUCUCUACAUGAAAAUCUGUAUAAAGAAGUGAUCUGUGGUGUCGCCAUUUGUAUCAAAAUGAUAUCACCAACUUAUUUAAAAGACUUUAUCUAAAAGUCUUCAGAUAGUUUUGGCCAGGGAAGAGCUCUAAUAUCACAUAUUAAUAGCC